rnacentral:rRNA from 1 species
CAGCCGCCACGGUAACACGUAGGGUGCAAGCGUUAAUCGGAAUUACUGGGCGUAAAGCGUGCGCAGGCGGUUCGUUAAGACAGAUGUGAAAUCCCCGGGCUUAACCUGGGAACUGCAUUUGUGACUGGCGGGCUAGAGUAUGGCAGAGGGGGGUAGAAUUCCACGUGUAGCAGUGAAAUGCGUAGAGAUGUGGAGGAAUACCGAUGGCAAAGGCAGCCCCCUGGGCCAAUACUGACGCUCAUGCACGAAAGCGUGGGGAGCAAACAGGAUUAGAGACCCGAGUAGUCCCUGUCUCUUAUAC